UACUGGGCGUAAAGAGCUCGUAGGUGGUUUGUCGCGUUGUUCGUGAAAUCUCACGGCUUAACUGUGAGCGUGCGGGCGAUACGGGCAGACUAGAGUACUGCAGGGGAGACUGGAAUUCCUGGUGUAGCGGUGGAAUGCGCAGAUAUCAGGAGGAACACCGGUGGCGAAGGCGGGUCUCUGGGCAGUAACUGACGCUGAGGAGCGAAAGCGUGGGGAGCGAACAGGAUUAGAUACCCUGGUAGUCCACGCCGUAAACGGUGGGUACUAGGUGUGGGUUUCCUUCCUUGGGAUCCGUGCCGUAGCUAACGCAUUAAGUACCCCGCCUGGG
rnacentral:rRNA from 1 species